GACGUCUGGUGGAGACAUCAGUUUGUGAAAGCAAAUCAUUCUCUAUAAGAUUAUCAGACCUUUUUAGUUUCAAGUUGUUUAAAUUUUGAAUGAAAAUUUUUACUUCAUGUUAUUUGAUUACUUAGAACCCGUGAACUGAUUAUCAUUUAAUCAUUUUUGUAUAAUUUUCUUCAUAUUUUCACUGAAACUCAUAGUUGUAAUACAAAAUCAUCAUCAAAUAUAAUUAUUGAUCAGGGGGUUUUCUCCACUUGCAAAAGAACGUGUUACUCCAUUACGAAAAUAACAUAUUUUAUAAGAAGAAGUUAAUUUUCAUUCAUAACUUUUAUUUUCAAACAUGUGUUUAUUGCACCUGAAAAUCUAUUAUCACUAUCAUUUCCCAAAAGCAGAGCAAGAAGUUCCAUGCCAUCAACGCGGAUUGACAGUUGUUUGUCAUGUCUGUUAGUAUUAGUACAAUUCAGGCAGUUUUUCGUCCCAUGUAUUAGUAUGUGUGUGCUAUUGACGUUUGUUUGUUGUUUUUGAAAUUCAGAAUUUGCAAGUGAUAUGGAUGGAUUUACAUUUACUCCUUUAUUUCGCUACUGUGGAAAAAGUUUAGUGAUGCAGGUUUCUGCUCAAAGCAAAGCAAUGGUGAGCGAUUUUAUCGAGCUGAAUGUGAAGUUCGACCUGACCCGGAAAGCGAUCGAUGACAAGGCUCGGCUCGAGGAGCUCAAGACCAAACUGUCUGUCAUGUGACCGGUGAUCAAGAUGUUCUCCUGACCGAUGCAGAAGCAUCCGCUCUGUCAGAGCGAAAUCAUCCAGCUGGCAUAUCUGAUUCGGUCAUUUUUCGCCUAGGAUCCGCGUAUUGAUAACUAUGUGUUGAUGCGAAAUACGCUCGAGAAGCCGUCCCUGCCCCGGGAGUACGCGCUCGAGGAAUCUGCGGAAGCAGUGAUGAAAUAGUUUCUGAAGGAAAAUUAUGUUGUUCUAAUCGUAAAGAUUCAUACUGCAAUGGUGGAAUAAAAAGACACUCUAGAAUAGAUGGAUUAUCUCGUAGGCUAAUUCUAAGAAAAUCACAGGAAGUGAAUAAAUAAUUGAGUAGUGCCCUUAGCUUACGAAAUGUUUUUUAUUGGUUCAUUCAAAUUCUAUUGGAAAUAUGUGGCAACAGAGUGUAUGGAUUGAAUAAUACUGUUUGUGUAAGUUUGGAAAUAAAACAAUUUAUAUAUAUGGAUAUGGAUAAAUA